CCACAGGGGCAGCCCCGCCAUAGCUGCUCUUGGGCAGGGCGGCCCUCGAGGGUCCCACGGGGGCAUGAGGGUGGGAACUGGCCUCCAGUUGGCCCAAGUGGGCCACAUAGCCAUCUGACAGGAACUGCGGGCAGAGGUGGGCAGGGAUGAGGGGAUGGCUGGUCUCAGGCCCACACGCUGCCCUUAACUGUCCUCCCCAGGGUCCUGGGCAGUGCUGGCUGCAUUAUAGGCCUGGCACAGCCUGACCAACCCCAGGCUGAGCCAGGGCACCUUUAUUCCUGGCUCUGCCUCUCUCUGGGUCUCAUCUUGAGUUUCCUCGUCUGUAGAAUGGGAUUUUGGAGGGAAACAACAGCAACUAACGUUUAGCAAGCACUUGCUUUGCGCCCAGCCCCGUGCACGCUGAUAUGCACUAAAUCACGUGCUCUUCAUGAUAGCUGUUGAGGUCUGGUCCAUCUUAUCAUUUCCAUUUUGCAGACGAGAAAUUGAGGCUCAGAAAGGUCAAGGCCUAUGCCCAGGACCGUGCCAAAGUGGAACCAGUACUCAAGGUCUUGAGCAUAUUAUCAAUCCUGGCCUGCCCAGCACCUCCAAGCUGCUUGUGACCCCCAUCCUAGGAGGAGCCCAGGUUCCCUGAUGCCAGCCAUCCUUCUCACAGCCGCCUGCCUUAGGUGCUUAACACAUGGGUGGUCCUUCCGGCCCAGACCCAGGCUCCCACUCCCCAGCUGGCUCGCAGUCCCCACCUUCACUUGGUCCUCACCUGGCACUGCGCCUGGAGCUUCCGCACGGCGCGGCCCACGAUGUAGGUCUGGCCCGGGGGUAGGCCCAGCGCCGCAUAUACGGCCACGUCUUUGGGGGACCCGUAGCCGGCCACGAUGUUCAGUUCCACCUGUGGCCAGAGAGGCCAAUCAGCAGCCCCGGGGGGCGGAGUCGUGAGGCAGGGGGUGGGGUCUGGUGGGCAUCCGGUUCAGAAUGUUUCGGGUCGAGGCCAUAUGGUCUACCUCACCAGGUCCGGGUGGGGUCGGGACCAGCCGUAUCUCUCUAGUUGGCCCCAAGGACCGUAUCUCUCUAGUUGGCCCCUGGGACCACGAGGGCCUUGGCGGUCUGUUAGGUUCGGGGGCCGAUGGGGGUGAGACCAGAUGGGCCUCCUCCCGGGGCGACGGCGGGGACGGGACCCUCCCCAGUCGCCGCACCUCCUGCACCAGGCUCUGCAGAAACACCGCCUUCUGGCGCAGCGGGUCGUGGGUGAGGCCAUCGCAGAAGGAGACUACGCCGUGGGGGAAGUUGUGCUGUGACAGCCAGGCCACCACGCGGUGCUUCUGCAUGUCGGGCCGGCCCGUUACGUACACGAUCAGGUAGCCCGCGUCCUGCCAGUGCCUGCAGGGUGGGGCGGCGGGUCAGCUCCACGCGCCAGGGGUGGAGACCAGUCACCACGGCGAGCCAGGCGGCCGCUCCUACCUGACCACGUCCACGGCGCCGGCGCGCACCUUGGGGUCGCUGCCCAUGAUGGAGACGCUGGCGGUGAAGGAGCCGUCGAUGCUGAACACCACGGCCUCCGUGCUGCGGGCCACGACCGUCAGGCAGCACUCAGCGUACGUGUGGUCGCCCCUACGGCCCAAGGGCUGCUUGAGCGACAUAGGGGCGGGGUCCAGAGGAGCCCCACCCCGCAGAGGCCCGGCCCACCCCGCGCUCACCUGACCACCAUGCGCACCGGGUAAACGCCAAUACCCAGCGCACGCUCCACGGGCACCGGGAAGGUGAGGCGGCCCGAGCUGUUGGUGACCUCGGUGCCAAAGUGAAUCCACUUGCCUGACAGCGGCUGCGUCAUGAUGUAGAUGUCCACCUAGCAGGCAGAGGGGGCGAGAGGGUCCCCCUGACGCUGAGCGGAGGAGGGCCGAGGCAGGCCUGUUGUUGGGGGAGGACGGGGUUGGGGGCUCAACCUAGUGUGACUGGGAGCUAUCCGUGGGACAGGAGGCAGCACCCGGACCUCCCGCUUGGGGCGAGUUUGCCCGAGGGCGGCCGGUCUACCCGGGACUGAGGCCUCUGUGUCCUGACCUUCUCUCCGGUGAGCGUGACCACGUCCAAGGGCCCGUACAUGAAGCGCCCGUUCAGCACCUGGGGGCGGCCCUCGCACACCACCGUGUCGCUCGCCCGGUGGUUGGAAGUGACGUUCUGGUGGAAGGAGACGGCGUGAGCCCGCAGCAAAGAGGCCGGGCUGUAGAUGGACGGCUCCUCGCACUCGGCCAGCUGUGGCUGCUCCUUCUCCAUCACCUGCGAAGAAUCGGACCAGCAAGGCCACGUGAAGGGGGGAAGGGUGCCUGGGGCUGCCCCUCCCCCAGCCCACGGCUCCCUAUCAUUGGCCGGUUCCCUCUCCCACCCCGCAUCCCUGGGCCCACCUGGCGCAGGAUGAAGGCCACCACAUCCGCCGACUCCCAGUAGCUGGCGUGGAAGAGGUGGGGCAGCGAGACGGUGGGGAAGGCGGUGAGCGCCUCAGGGCAGUACAACGAGUAGUCAAUCCGCUUGGUCCCCCACCAGCGCUCCAGGACUGUACGGCCACGGUGGGCAGUGAGUCAGGGGUGGCCUCCCACCCCAUGCCCACCCGUCUGGCCCCUAAUGCUCUUCCCUCCCUCUUUUCUGCCAACCCUGCUGAGUCUGGAGUUGGGUGCUAGGGCACACUCAUUCCAGAGCAAAUGCUUGGGGCAAGGAUGUUUCAGCUGGGCUUUGAAGAUGGAAUAAGUAUUCCCUCCCCAGGCUGGGUGGCUGGCUGACUUACUCUUAACCACCUCACUGGUGGUGCUGGGGGCAGCUGGCUGGGCUGGCAGAUCACUGCCUAGCUCACUGCCCUUCCAGAAGGCUCCGCUGGUAGAGGUGGGUGUUGAGGGCACCAACAUCUCCAGCUCCUCCAGAAAGAGGCCUGAGUGGGUCUGCAGAGUGUCAGCUGUGGGUGGACGGGCGACCUCAGUGGCGGGCUGGGCCAGGCCACCCUCCUGUCUUCCCACCAAGGUUCCAGGACAGCCUGGCCCCCAUCCCUCCACCAUCUCCCCUGCCAGCCCUCCCUGGUUGGGUCUUGGCUGAGGCUGAAGUGCCCCACAUCUGGGUGGAGGUGAAGGGUGGGGGCAUCCUCUCCUGUUAGCUCACCCCAACAGCCAGCUGCAUUCCUGCCAGCAUGACUGCCGCCACCACCUGGACCCAGGCCCACGUGUCUCAUGGGGCCAAAUGGCUACUCACUUGCAUGCACGUGAGUACACACCCCAAACCAAUACACGAACACAGGUGCAUGCGGAGACACAAUGCAUCCCUACACACAGACACUGCAGCCCCUCUCCCCGCCGGUGGUGGGCGGCUGCUCUCAGUGUCACCACCUCCUCCCUUCAGCCCAGUUGUCACCACUGCCCCCAACUUCUGGGCAGAGAAUGUUAGAGGGUCUUGGGGAUCCAGACUGCCCAAGGGGCCAGGGGAGGGCUCCCUGGUCCUGGGAGUGGUGACAUGAGAGAGUACCAAUGAUGUGGGAACUACCUCAUGUCUUCUUGGGAGAGGGGGGCCCACACCCAUCCCUCACUGUUGGUGCCGUCCUCUUUCUCCCCUUUAUCUUGGUUGGCGGCAUACCCAGCAGCAGGGAUGAGCCGUCUCCCAGGGGGAACUUCUGGUAGCGCGGCACAGCCAGUGGGGCGAUGGCCUGGAACUUGGGGGCCAGCAGGGGCUCAAGGCGGGAGGCGCAGGGGUCGGCCGCAUGGAAGAGGUUGUAGAUCUGCUCACAGGCUGGCCGCAUCUGGGCCACUGGUACCCAGAAGAUAAAGGGGGGAGGGGAUUCAUCUGGGCAUACUGGGAGGCAGGGGUUGUGGGAAGCAGCACCCUGACAUGCUGUGUGACCCUGAACCAGCACUUCCCAGACUCUACUCCCUGGGAGGUCCCUGGGAGUGCUUAAAAGUGAGACAGGUCUCUCGGCUAAAAAGAGAUCAGAGCCUUCGAUUUGCUGAUGUUCAAGACGAAGCGUUCCCCAUGCCUGUUGGACCCCCUCUCAUGAAAGCAUCUGUGGAGCCAGCACCAGGCCCAGAGGGGAGCCAAAGAGGAAGAAGCCGGAGACCUUGAAGUCAAGGCGGGUGGCACUGGUCUCGGGUGCUGACCGUGGGCAUCAAAGAACUCCUCCUCAGAGCUGUUCUCAGAGUCUCGGGCGAUGUUCUGCAUGCGCCACUCGGACAGAGUCUGGGGAGACACGCCCCCUGCAGGGCCACAUUGGCCUCAGCCUGGGAGUUCAGCCUGAGGGCCGCUCCCUCCUGCCCCUGUGCCUCAGCCUCACCUCCAUGCUGGGACGAGUAGGAGGAACGGGAGGACGAGGACCACUGCUUGCCGAAGCUGGCAUCAGGCGAGGCAUCGGGGCCUGGGGGCACCUCGGGCCCAUCGGGGGCGCCAGCACGGCUGGCCCCAGCCCGGGCCUCAGUGCUUGGCUUCCCGGGGGGCUGGGCCUCGGGCCCCUCACUGCCUGUGUUGCACUUGGCCAUGCGCUGUGCCAGCAUGCGGGCGGUCUCUUCCUCCAGUGCCCGGAUGUCAGCCAUGCUCAGCUCUGUCCACUCGUCCUGCCAGCACCAGGCCUGGCGGUGGGCCCGCAGCAUCACCCGACGCAGGCCUGCAGGCGCCCGGGCGUCAAAGCCAUGCCCUCCCCACCCACACGCCCCAGCCCCGAGUUUCCCUGCCACUGCAGCCACAUGCCCAGCCCAUGAGUUCAGGGAAUGGCUCCCCUGGGCACACCACCCACCCAGGGCCACAAAGUAGGGCAGGGUGAGCACUGUCCGGGAGACGGGAGUGGAAACUGGGGCAUUUGUCUUCCUGCCCCACCUCCGUCCCUGCCCACUUCCUCUUUUAUCCCUCUGGACACCCCAACUCUGAGCGCUGAGCCCACCCCGACACCCCGGGAAGCUGGGAGCAAUGUUUGUUCUUGCUUCUGUCAGCUGGCUUCCUGCUGAUUUCUUCACAAGAGUUAACAAUUAAGGCGUCGAUAGUUAAUGAAAUUGUUGAUGGUUAAUGAAGGCGUUAAGAGUUAAUGGAAGUGUUGGCACUUAAUGAAGCAAAACGUGAUACCCGUUCUGGGACAGUUCCAUCCUAAGCAGUGGACUAAAGUUAGAGACUCCAACGUCUAGGAGAUAACGUCAUCAUGACUGAAUUACUGUGACAAACUUCUGGAAGGAGAUACACCAGAAUCUUAAUAGUGGUUACAUGUGGAAGGGAAAAUUAAGGCACAGAGAUGGGAAGUAUCUCCCUGGAGGAGAGUUUCCAUGAGGGUCCGUGGUGGGAUGGAACCCAGGUCCCUGGACACCCCCAUCCUUCUACCUGCAGGUAGUCUACCCUCAGACCUGGGAGGUGGGGCAGGGCUGAGCCACAGGAACUGUGGGGUUAGUUUUAGGGGGGGCAUGAAACAGGGCCUCCUGGAUAACAGGGCCAAAGGAUGGGACUCGGAGAGAGCGACAGAGUCACAGCUUUGGCCUGCACUCCUUAGCGUGUUGCAGGUUAGAGCUGGGGACCCUCCUGAGAGCCUCUAAGUCUCGCUUGACCCACAGAACACUGGAGAGUCUUAGAAUUUUAAUGGAUGAGAAGCAGCAUCUCUGAAUGUCAGAACCGGCAUGGACCUCAGAGAUCACGUUGUCAGCUUCUUGCCCGCCUGACUCUCACCUGUACCUCAAGGCUAGGCUCCCCCAACCCCUAGCUAGGCUGUGCGGCUCCCCUCUGCCUCAGUGCCCACCACAUCAAACGGAAAUGACGGCUUUAUGUUUCUGUGUCCCCAGUAGACUGGGAGCAUCCCUGGCUCAAACGCGCGGCCUGGUGCAUGCCGAGUAAAUAGAACCUCGCGAGGCUGGGCGCUCACCGACAUCGUGGAUGAACUGCUCAAUCUUGGCCUGCAUGCCCCAGUAGCGGAACUCAACCUUGCACAGCUUAUAGGCGCACAUGAGGGGCCCCGUCUGGGCUGCUGUGCGUGCCCAGUCAUCAGCCAGCGGUCCUCGGCCUGUCUUGGCCGAGCGGUACAGCCGGGGGUCUUCUUCCGCUUUGUACUCGCCUGGGGCCACUGCAUCCCGCACGAUGUCGAUGGUAUCUGGGGGGGUUCCGGCAGCGCUGAGCAACAGCAGCCCCCUCUGGCCCCUGCCACUCCUCCCCCACCUCGGGAUUGGGGGGGCAACUUUCCAUGCACAGGAAGCCUAGACCGGGAGAGAGCCUGGGACUUGUCAGAGGCCGCCUGUUGAGGUGGCAGGUGUCCUGAGAGGGGCUCCACGGUCCCCCCGCUGGCUCCAGGCCUCACCCAGGAUGCGCUGUCUCCGCUCAGCCCCACUCAGGUUGAAGACAUUCGGCUGCUGCCCCCCAUCAGGCAGGUAAUAGGUCUCUAUUUCAAUGGAGAAUUUCUCCACAAAGGGGCAGGUGUACCUGGGCAGAGGGUGGGGUGAGGGUCACGGCUGUGCCCACCAAGUCUGUUCCCCUCCUGGCCCCAGACCUGCCCCACCCACUCACCGGGUGCGGGUGUAGGGAUAGGCAUUCCAGGAUUCCUCCUCCACCUGCAGGGCGGCCUUGGGCAGCAGUGCCCGGAACCAGCCUGGGAUGUGGGA